CUGGCUUGAGCUGAAAUGAAGAAGAGAUGAAGUCCAGGUGUACAGGAAGUACAAGUCACAUUGAUGUGCUGACUUAAAGCUGAAAAUGAGAUUUUUGUUCCCAGAACUCGGACAUCUUCUGUGAG